rnacentral:tRNA from 1 species
GGGCGAGUCGGAUAGCUGGCAAUUCCGCCUGACUGUAAAUCAGGUGCCUUUUGGCUUCGUUGGUUCGAGUCCAACCUCGCCCACCA